CAAGGAAUUUUCCACAAUGGGCGCAAGCCUGAUGGAGCAACGCCGCGUGGGGGAUGACGCUUUUCGGAGUGUAAACCCCUUUUCGAGAGGACGAAGCAAAUGACGGUACUCUCGGAAUAAGGACCGGCUAACUACGUGCCAGCAGCCGCGGUAAGACGUAGGGUCCGAGCGUUGUCCGGAGUUACUGGGCGUAAAGCGCGCGCAGGCGGUUUCGUACGUCGGGUGUGAAAGCCCCCCGCUCAACGGGGGAGGGUCAUUCGAAACGGCGGAACUGGAGGCAGGGAGAGGUCGGUGGAAUUCCCGGUGUAGUGGUGAAAUGCGUAGAUAUCGGGAGGAACACCAGUGGCGAAGGCGGCCGACUGGACCUGUACUGACGCUGAGGCGCGAAGGCGUGGGGAGCGAACGGG
rnacentral:rRNA from 1 species